rnacentral:RNase_P_RNA from 1 species
GUAGGCGGCCAGACGAUCGCCGCGUUCGUCCAAGUAAUUGGACGACGGGGAGGAAAGUCCGAACUCCGCAGGGUAGUGCGCCGGGUAAUGCCCGGUCAGGGUGACCUGAAGGAAAGUGGCACAGAAAACAUACCGCCACGAUUGUGUAACCCUCUGGGUGCACGUUGUGGUAAGGGUGAAAAGGUGCGGUAAGAGCGCACCGCGUUUACCGUAAGGUAAAUGGCAGGCUAAACCCCGCACGGAGCAAGACCAAAUAGGGAAGCGUUUUAGGAUGACCCGUCCAAAGCUUCCGGGUAGGUUGCUUGAUCCUGUCAGCAAUGACUGGGCUAGAGGAAUGAUCGUCACCAAGACUUAGUUGCGUAAGUGAUUAGGACUAGGUACAGAAUUCGGCUUAUGGCAAACCUGCGACG